ACUUAUAAUGUAGAAUAAUGAGAAAAAUUUCUCGAACUCAAAUUUUGUGAACCAGGGGGGAGUGUCUUUUCCAACAAACUAAAAAUGGCUCGCGCACAAAAUUUAAAAGUUGUAAUCAUAUUUUGAGUUAACAGAUGGAAAAUUUGUCGGGUUUUUAAUUACUGUACAAAAUUUCAGACAAUUUGGUUCAGUUUAAGCCCCUUAACUAUUCACGCAAAGUUACAAUUUUCCCGAAAAAUCAGCUAUUUGCAUGCCUAAUUAAUGCAUUUGCCUAAUUUGCAUAUGUCAG
rnacentral:lncRNA from 1 species